CCUGAUUCGAAUGGGCAGUUCAUCAUGAACUACCAUAUGAAUAAAAUUGAUAGCACUUUACCCGAGUUACUGAACAUACUGGUAAAGCAUAGGGCACCUUGAAGAGUUCAAGGGAUACAGUUCUGACUGUGGAGCAGGCUUCCUCUAAGAGAAAAUUUUCUUUUAAGAAGAAGAAGAAGCCUGCAAAGAAGCAAAAGAACGAGACUAAGCCUAAGAAGCAGGUUCCAAAGAAGACCGACAACAAAGAAAAGUGUUUCCAUUGCAACAUCAAAGAUCACUGGAGAAAGAACUGUCCAGUCUAUCUG
rnacentral:lncRNA from 1 species